UCAAUGUAUAUAAAUAUCUGAGGGGAGGGUGUCAAGAGGAUGGAGCCAGUCUCUUUUCCAUUGUGCCCAGUGAGCGGAUGAGAGGCAAUGGGCACAAACUGAAGCACAGAAAGUUCUGGUUGAAUAUGAGAGGGCAGUUCAUUACUGUGAGGGUGACAGAGCACUGGAACAGGUUACCCAGAGAGGUUGUGGAGUUUCCUUCUCUGGAGAUAUUCAAAACCCGCCUGGAUGCCAUCCUGCACAGUGUGCUCUAGGUGAUCCUGCCUGGCAGGGGGGUUGGACUAGAUGAUCUUCAGAGGUCCCUUCCAACCUCAGCCAUUCUGUGAAGUGAGAUUUGUGAUUUU